UUCACCUUCCCAAUGCAAUUUCUUGGAACAGAUUUCUGAAAAAACAAUUGUCUAACAUGUCUAAUCAUAAUGCAUCAUAGCUCCCAAUGUUCCAUAAUGAAUGUUGCCUCUUACUUCUAACCUCUCUCAUUUCUCUCAUCUUUUUCCAUCAAAUCGUUCGUCUCUCUCUUCUCUCAAACUCAUCUUUAAUUUUUUUCAAACAACCUUUUUUGUUUCUUGCUUGAACAAUUUUCAUUCCCCCCUAAAGAUAAUAGUUAUAGAUCUAUAUACCAAAGACGCAAACUGACUUUAAACCAUAUAAAAAGUGUUGUAGAUUUACAUAUAAGAUAGAAAAAGUUAAAUAACAUUGAUAAAAUAAAAGAAUUGAGGUUGAAUGAAUAAACUUUUGUUUGAAUAAUGGAUGAGGGUAGUGAAGAAAUCUGAGUUUUCGUUUGAAUGGUGGAUCUUGGAAAAGAAUGAUGAUGGAAGUUUUGCGUUUGAAGGGACAAAUCAAAUUUCUUUACUUUUCAAAGAGUUACGUUGAACGACUGAUGAAUAUAUGAAAAAAAUAAGGGUUUUGUGUUAGAAUUAUGGGUUUUGUAUGAAUAAAUGAGAGUGUUGUAGAUGAAAUCGGGGAGUAGAGAGAUAAAGAAUUACAAGAAAUAAGUAACAUGUUGAUUUGGUAUCUGAUAAGAGAUAAGAAAAUCUUGUGGAAGCAAUAAUGCUAAGACACAUGGGUGGGAAGAAAGAGAACAUGUGGUGAUAAAAAGAAAGAAAUAAUAAUCAAGAAGAUUUCUUUUGAGAUAGAAAAAGGAAUGAGAUAGAAAAAUUAUGAUUCUCAUUAAUU